AGCAGAGUGGCGGAAUCAGCGGAAGCGUGCUGGGCCCAUAACCCAGAGGUCGGUGGAUCGAAACCAUCCUCUGCUA
rnacentral:tRNA from 1 species